AUUGAACGCUGGCGGCAUGCCUAACACAUGCAAGUCGAACGAGUGGCGGACGGGUGAGUAAUGUCUGGGAAACUGCCUGAUGGAGUGGUAUAACUACUGGAAACGGUAGCUAAUACCGCAUACCAUUAGAUUUUCCCAUACUGGAUUAGCUAGUUGGUGGGGUAACGGCUCACCAAGGCGACGAUCCCUAGCUGGUUUGAGAGGAUGACCAGGCGCACCGGAACUGGGGCACGGGCCAAACUCCUAGGUGAGGAAGCGAUGGGGAAUAUUGCACGAUGGGGGCAAGCCUGAUGCAGCGAAGCCGGGUGGAUGAAGAAGGGAUUCGGGUUGUAAAGUACUUUCCGCGGGGAGGGGUUACCCGGAGAAGAAGCACCGGCUAACUCCGUGCCAGCAGCCGCGGUAAUUC
rnacentral:rRNA from 1 species